rnacentral:rRNA from 1 species
AUUGAACGCUGGCGGAAUGCUUUACACAUGCAAGUCGAACGGCAGCACGGACUUCGGUCUGGUGGCGAGUGGUGAACGGGUGAGUAAUGUAUCGGAACGUGCCCAGUCGUGGGGGAUAACGUAGUGAAAAUUACGCUAAUACCGCAUACGAUCUAUGGAUGAAAGGGGGGGAUCGCAAGACCUCGCGCGAUUGGAGCGGCCGAUAUCAGAUUAGGUAGUUGGUGGGGUAAAGGCCCACCAAGCCAACGAUCUGUAGCUGGUCUGAGAAGACGACCAGCCACACUGGAACUGAGACACGGUCCAGACUCCUACGGGAGGCAGCAGUGGGGAAUUUUGGACAAUGGGCGAAAGCCUGAUCCAGCCAUUCCGCGUGCAGGAUGAAGGCCCUCGGGUUGUAAACUGCUUUUGUACAGAACGAAGAGGUUUCUACUAAUACUAGGAGCUCAUGACGGUACUGUAAGAAUAAGCACCGGCUAACUACGUGCCAGCCGCCGCGGUAA